UACGUAGGGUGCAAGCGUUGUCCGGAAUUAUUGGGCGUAAAGAGCUCGUAGGCGGUUCGUCACGUCGGCUGUGAAAUCCCGAGGCUCAACCUCGGGUCUGCAGUCGAUACGGGCGGACUUGAGUACUGCAGGGGAGACUGGAAUUCCUGGUGUAGCGGUGAAAUGCGCAGAUAUCAGGAGGAACACCGGUGGCGAAGGCGGUUCUCUGGGCCUGUACUGACGCUGAGGAGCGAAAGCGUGGGGAGCGAACAGG
rnacentral:rRNA from 1 species